rnacentral:rRNA from 1 species
CCCUUAUAUGUCCGGGGCCGCACGCGCGCUACACUGAAGGAAUCAGCGUGGCUUUCUCCCUGACCCGAAAGGGUUGGGAAACCCGUUGAAUCUCCUUCGUGAUAGGGAUUGGGGCUUGAAAUUGUUCCCCAUGAACGAGGAAUUCCCAGUAAGCGCGAGUCAUAAGCUCGCGUUGAUUACGUCCCUGCCCUUUGUACACACCGCCCGUCGCUACUACCGAUUGAACGGUUUAGUGAGGGCCUCGGAUUGGUCUCGGCCCGCUCUUUACCGGGCGGCGCCGUUGGUCGAGAAGACGCUCGAACUUGAUCGUUUAGAGGAAGUAAAAGUCGUAACA